rnacentral:lncRNA from 1 species
GACAGAAAGAGUAAACUGAAAACGUUCUUAAUUCCUGCAAAUGAGCUGAACGAGAUGACAAUAGCAUCUCACAAUGGUUAAGCACUUAAGGUUACACUCAUGUGUUUGCUACUGAAAAUUAACAAACAGGUUUACAACAAAUAAACACAAAGACACUAAACCUUGAAAAAAACUAAGGGGGUUACAAUGACAAAAAAAAAGAGGAUUUAAAUGAAGAUGGUCAAUGAAAAGAAAAAUCUUGCCCAUUGCACUAAACACGGAACAAAGAAUGAACACACUACAACACACACAUACACUAUUCAAAAAAUGACCACCCAUAGAUCAGUACUGCCCCCAAAAAGGGUAUAAGACAAAGAUAACAUAAGGAUACAGUUAACAAAACACAAGAACAGAAAAAUAAAAUCCAAAAAACACCCUCCGUAAUGUAGAUGACAACCAUUAUUAGGUGUUCUAUCCCUGGAUAAUUGAUCCAAUUCCACGGAUAGACCCCAACUCUUAGAUCACCGCGAGGGGAUCCUAAAAUUCCGAUCACUCAUAACAAGGUAGGGAGCACCCCACCCCAAAAAU